rnacentral:lncRNA from 1 species
CGCAUAUCUCUCUCUCUUCUCUCUCAGGAUUUCUGAAUUUUGUGCGUUCUUCUUCUCCCAGCCCUGCGUGGAUCUGGAAUAUUUGCAUUUUGAAUAGGGGAGGGGGUGGUAAAUUUUUUAAAACAAUAAAAAGAUGAGGGACAGUGGGGGCUCAUAAUUUUUCAAGCAGAAAACAGGCCAAGAUUAAUGAUAUAGAUUUUAAAAAGUUUUGAGGAAUGCUGAAUUAUUCAAUGGUGGUCAAAGCUCGUAACCCUUCUGAUUUUGCUGCCUUUAUACUAUUCCACUGUAAAUUGGAAAGGUCUCUAUUACCAGCGUUGUUUUUCUGAAAAUACGGUGUAAAGGGGGCCUAGUUUUCGGCCUGCAGAAGCUUGCAGAAGUCUUCCUCAAGCCUUUGGGAGGCUGAAAAAGGCCUCAAACCGGCCGAAAAUCAGCUCAGCUCAUCAGCGCCGGCUGCCUUUGGCCGACGCAGAUCAGGAUCUCUCUUCUCUCAGCUGAAGGUGCCACCACCAACAAGGGCACCCCGGUAGGAAAUUCUGCACCGUGAUGGGUAAAGCUCUCAGCUUUAUCUUCUGUGCUUCGUUCCUUUUGCUUGGACAACCUAAAUGGACAGACGCCACUGAAGGGGAUUUCAGCCAUAAGGUCAGUACUGACACUGCCUGUAUCUUCUGAUGGAUGGGAGUGUAGGGAAGAAAAAAAAACCUGCUUCUACAAUAGAUGUACGCACACAAACACACACAUACACGUGUGAACGCAUGCACCCCUGAAGACACAAAUUUCUCAGAGG